UCAGUCGACUCCUACGGGGAGGCAGCAGUGGGGAAUAUUGCACAAUGGGGGAAACCCUGAUGCAGCCAUGCCGCGUGUGUGAAGAAGGCCUUCGGGUUGUAAAGCACUUUCAGUAGGGAGGAAGGUAGUGUAGUUAACACCUGCAUUAUUUGACGUUACCUACAGAAGAAGCACCGGCUAACUCCGUGCCAGCAGCCGCGGUAAUACGGAGGGUGCGAGCGUUAAUCGGAAUUACUGGGCGUAAAGCGCAUGCAGGCGGCCUGUUAAGUCAGAUGUGAAAGCCCGGGGCUUAACCUCGGAAUUGCAUUUGAAACUGGCAGGCUAGAGUCUUGUAGAGGGGGGUAGGAAUUUCAGGUGUAGCGGUGAAAUGCGUAGAGAUCUGAGGGAAUACCAGUGGCGAAGGCGGCCCCCUGGACAAAGACUGACGCUCAGAUGCGAAAGCGUGGGGAGCAAACAGGAUUAGAUACCCUGGUAG
rnacentral:rRNA from 1 species